rnacentral:rRNA from 1 species
AGUGAACGCUGGCGGUAGGCCUAACACAUGCAAGUCGAACGGCAGCACAGUAAGAGCUUGCGCUUACGGGUGGCGAGUGGCGGACGGGGGCGGAAGACAUCGGAAUCUACUUUUUCGUGGGGGAUAACGUAGGGAAACUUACGCGAACACCGCAUACGACCUACGGGUGAAAGCAGGGGAUCUUCGGACCUUUCGCGAGGGAAUGAGCCGAUGUCGGAUUCGCUAGUUGGCGGGGUAAAGGCCCAGCAAGGCGACGAUCCGUAGCGGGUCUGAGAGGGUGAUCAGCUACCCUGGCACUGAGACACGGCCCACACUCCUGCGGGAGGCCGCAGUGGGGACUCUUGCGCAAUGCGGGCAAGCCUGAUCCAGGACUACCGCCUGAGUGAUGAAGGCCUUCGGGUUGUAAAGCCCUUUUGUUGGUAAAGAAGAACAGCAGGUUAAUACCCCGCGGUACUGACGGUACCCAGAGAAUAAGCACCGGCUAACUUCGUG